rnacentral:rRNA from 1 species
AACGAGCGCAACCCUUGCCUUUAGUUGCCAGCAGUUCGGCUGGGCACUCUAAAGGGACUGCCGGUGUUAAACCGGAGGAAGGUGGGGAGUGACGUCAAGUCCUCAUGGCCUUUAUGACCAGGGCUACACACGUACCACAAUGGCCGAUACAAAGGGCAGCGACACUGCGAGGUGAAGCCAAUCCCGUAAAAUCGGUCUCAGUCCGGAUUGGAGUCUGCAACUCGACUCCAUGAAGUUGGAAUCGCUAGUAAUCGUGGAUCAGCAUGCCACGGUGAAUACGUUCCCGGGCCUU